rnacentral:rRNA from 1 species
CCUACGGGAGGCAGCAGUAGGGAAUCUUUCACAAUGGGCGAAAGCCUGAUGGAGCAACGCCGCGUGCAGGAUGAAGGCCUUCGGGUUGUAAACUGCUUUUAUAAGCGAGAAAUAUGAUGGUAACUUAUGAAUAAGGAUCGGCUAACUACGUGCCAGCAGCCGCGGUCAUACGUAGGAUCCGAGCAUUAUCCGGAGUGACUGGGUGUAAAGAGUUGCGUAGGUGGCAUAAUAAGUAGCUAGGGAAAUCUGGUGGCUCAACCAUUCAGACUAUUAGCUAAACUGUUAAUCUCGAGAACGUUAGGGGUAACUGGAAUUUCUAGUGUAGGAGUGAAAUCCGUAGAUAUUAGAAGGAACACCAAUAGCGUAGGCAGGUUACUGGGACGGUUCUGACACUAAGGCACGAAAGCGUAGGGAGCAAACGGGAUUAGAUACCCCAGUAGUC